GCCCCGGCUAACUACGUGCCAGCAGCCGCGGUAAUACGUAGGGGGCGAGCGUUGUCCGGAAUUAUUGGGCGUAAAGGGUACGUAGGCGGCUUUUUAAGUUUGACGUGAAAGCCCGGGGCUUAACUCCGGCAAGCGUUGAAAACUGGAGGGCUUGAGUGAUGGAAGGGACAGUGGAAUUCCUGGUGUAGUGGUGAAAUGCGCAGAGAUCAGGAAGAAUACCAGUGGCGAAGGCGACUGUCUGGACAUUAACUGACGCUGAGGUACGAAAGCGUGGGGAGCAAACAGGCUUAGAUACCCUGGUAGUCCACGCUGUAAACGGUGGGUACUAGGUGUGGGAUCCAUUCCACGGAUUCUGUGCCGUAGCUAACGCAUUAAGUACCCCGCCUGGGGAGUACGGCCGCA
rnacentral:rRNA from 1 species